GGCUGGCAGUUGAGAUACUAGAUUUCUCCUACUCCUUUGGCUGCCAGAUUUCAACCCUCAACCCAGUCUCUGGAACGAUGAAGUGAAGCGCAGGUUUGAGGGCAAGUGGUGGCUGCCUAUUCCGGAUCAGAGGUGCGGCGGCCCCGAGGUGGCCCAAGACUGCACCACGGCGCGCGGCCUCCGCCAGGUUUAUAAGAAAAGUGAGAGAGCGUGAUCUUAAGUGUGUGCUGCACGAGCAGUGGUGUGGACCCAGAGUUCAGGCAUAGGCGAAGAACGGACACGGAUUUCACACUCCUGAUAGGAACAUGGACUUGGAGGUUGCUCGUGAAUCCCAGGACCUCCACCGCAUCUACAGGCAAGAGGGGCAUCCCCACCACCAGCUCUACCAGCACCACCUCUAACUGCAGGAAUUGCUCCUCCAAGUCCUUGGCCUCUACUACAUGGUAUCCACCGCCAUUGCCUUUGUUGGGGGAUCGGUGAUCCAUAGUCACACCACCCGCUCUGAAUUAUGAAAUGGAAGUACAAAUAAAUGUAUAAACCUGCACCCCAUGUGUAUUUCGCA